rnacentral:rRNA from 1 species
GAUGAACGCUGGCGGCGUGCCUAACACAUGCAAGUCGAACGGAGUAUUUCGGAUGAAGUUUUCGGAUGGAUUUUGAGAUACUUAGUGGCGGACGGGUGAGUAACGCGUGGGCAACCUGCCCCAUACCGGGGGAUAACAGCCGGAAACGGCUGCUAAAACCGCAUACGAUGCAGAAGUCGCAUGACUACUGCAUGAAAUAUUCAUAGGUAUGGGAUGGGCCCGCGUCUGAUUAGCUAGUUGGUGAGGUAACGGCUCACCAAGGCGACGAUCAGUAGCCGGCUUGAGAGAGUGACCGGCCACAUUGGGACUGAGACACGGCCCAAACUCCUACGGGAGGCAGCAGUGGGGAAUAUUGCACAAUGGGGGAAACCCUGAUGCAGCGACGCCGCGUGAGUGAAGAAGUAUUUCGGUAUGUAAAGCUCUAUCAGCAGGGAAGAAGAAAGACGGUACCUGACUAAGAAGCCCCGGCUAACUACGUGCCAGCAGCCGCGGUAAA